rnacentral:misc_RNA from 1 species
GAGAGAGAGAGGGCAUGGGCGUGUGUUUAAGACAUUUUUUAGAGAGAGAGAGCUGGGCGGGAUGCGAAAACCGUUUCGGGGGCUUAUCUGGAAAAGUGAAUUUUCCGUUUUAUUUUUCUUGCGUUUUCUUUCGCGAGAAAAUUCUAGGGAGGGAAUGAGAAAAGCCGAAAAGGGCGGGUUGGUCUUGCCCCGUUCCAACCAUUUUCCCUUCUUGCCGACGCGGGACUUGAGCCCAGUCCGUUAGUGGAUUCGGUGUUCUCUUUUUUAGCCUCAGCCCUCCGGCCUGUCAAUUCACGCAGCUGACAUCUCACAGAUCACUUGCGC